rnacentral:rRNA from 1 species
GACGAACGCUGGCGGCGUGCUUAACACAUGCAAGUCGAACGGAAAGGCCCUGCUUUUGUGGGGUGCUCGAGUGGCGAACGGGUGAGUAACACGUGAGUAACCUGCCCUUGACUUUGGGAUAACUUCAGGAAACUGGGGCUAAUACCGGAUAGGAGCUCCUGCUGCAUGGUGGGGGUUGGAAAGUUUCGGCGGUUGGGGAUGGACUCGCGGCUUAUCAGCUUGUUGGUGGGGUAGUGGCUUACCAAGGCUUUGACGGGUAGCCGGCCUGAGCGGGUGACCGGCCACAUUGGGACUGAGAUACGGCCCAGACUCCUACGGGAGGCAGCAGUGGGGAAUAUUGCACAAUGGGCGGAAGCCUGAUGCAGCAACGCCGCGUGCGGGAUGACGGCCUUCGGGUUAUAAACCGCUUUCGCCUGUGACGAAGCGUGAGUGACGGUAAUGGGUAAAGAAGCACCGGCUAACUACGUG